AGCUGUGGGGUUGGUGGAAGCUACUGGCCUGCUAAGUUAAUAGAUUCUAAAGGGUUCCCAUCUGUUAGCCACAAACUGUUAGUUCUGACAUGGAAGUGGGCCAGGAUAGGCACCCAGGAUGAGGUAACCAGCCUUUGGACCGGCCACCGCCCAGCUUCUCCACAGCACUGAUAUUCUCACAGUGCCUGUCUCUGCAGACACAGCUUCUUUCCGGAGUGCUUGUUCACAGAGUUGGUCUUCCUGUCCUUGCUUUCCCUAACUGUGUUCUUUCCAACUGGCAUUCUCUCACAGAAGCACAACCAAUACCUUCUCUUUCUGCCUUGUGACCAGAUCAGAAGUAUAAAGCCGGGAAGAUCCUAAAGAAGACUCCGAUUCAAGGCCAGGAGUCCUCCUCCAAAACCCCAACCCUGGACAGAAGAAGCUGGACUCCAGCAAUGUGACAGAGGCAAAUAUUUACAUCCCGUCCUGCCAAGUUCUCCCCAGUGAACGGCCUGUCUUAGGACUGAGCAUUAUGAGAAAGCCCUCCAAAAUGAAGGCAUACCCAGGAACACUCUGUAACCGAUCCUCAGAAACUUGGGAUGCAACUGGCUGCCAGCUUCAACAGACUCUCUGAGCCCAAGGGGUCCCAGAAGUGAUAUACCUUCCAAGAAGCCCCCAACCAACAAAGGCUGGGAGAUUCCGCCAUGAGACCUACCACGUGACCACUGGCAGCACAUAAUCUGAGGUAAUGGCAACAGACUGGGACUAAAGCUCUUGCUUCACACUACCCAAAUCCCCAGACUCCACAACUUUGACCCAACAUCCUAAAACCACAAUCUCGGAACAAUGAGUUGGUUGCAUUUAUCUUCAGUUCCCAGAGGAAGCCUGCCAAGCAACUCUUUGCAAGUCGUGGAAGAGGUACCAGAGGAUCAGCUUCCAAGGUCACCAGGUCUGUUGAAACAUGACCUGUGGGAUGAUAUGUUCAAGGUAGAUCACCUGAAAUGAAGAGGUUUGACUGUUAGAGGCUAGCCCUCAGCUUGGUCCAAUGCUCCUUGAUUAUCUAAGUCUCUUCUCCAAAGUCACUGUCCUAGCUACCCUUCUGUUACUGUGACAGAACACCAUGACCAGAGUCACUUAUGGAAGAGCUUCUUCUGGGUUGUGGUUCCAGAUGGCACAAGAAGCAGUCAGGAUGGGAGGAGCUGGAAGAUGAAAGAUCACAUCUUUGGAUGUAAGCAAGGAACACACUGAAGUGGAGUGAGGCCUUAAACUCUCAAAGUCCAUGCCAGUGACCUGAUUCCUUCAGUAAGGGCUCACCUUCUGGUGAGCAUGAGAGAGAGAGACAGAGAGAGAGACAGAGAGAGAGAGAGAGA